GCAGGCGUGUAAAUUACCCACUCCCAGCUCGGGGAGGUAGUGACGAAAAAUAACAAUACAGGACUCAUAUCCGAGGCCCUGUAAUUGGAAUGAGUUCAUUUUAAAUCCUUUAACAAGGACCAAUUGGAGGGCAAGUCUGGUGCCAGCAGCCGCGGUAAUUCCAGCUCCACUAGCGUAUAUUAAAGUUGUUGCGGUUAAAACGUUCGUAGUUGAACUUGUGCUUCAUACGGGUAGUACAACUUACAAUUGUGGUUAGUACUAUACCUUUAUGUAUGUAAGCUUAUUACCGGUGGAGUUCUUAUAUGUGAUUAAAUACUUGUAUUUUUUCAUAUGUUCCUCCUAUUUAAAAACCUGCAUUAGUGCUCUUAAACGAGUGUUAUUGUGGGCCGGUACUAUUACUUUGAACAAAUUAGAGUGCUAAAAGCAGGCUUUAAAUGCCUGAAUAUUCUGUGCACGGGAUAAUGAUAAUAAUAAGACCUCUGUUCUGCUUUCAUUGCUUUUCAGAUCAAA
rnacentral:rRNA from 1 species